GGAUCAAUACGUCGGUCGUGCUUUCGGGUACGUACUGGCGUCAUUGGUUUCUCCUUUCUGACGAACCAUGAUGUCAUUAAUUUGGUGUUAUGGGGAGUUAGGACUGUUACUUUGAAAAAAUUAGAGUGUUUAAAGCAGGCAUUAGCUUGAAUACAUUAGCAUGGAAUAAUGAAAUAGGACGUUCGAUCCUAUUUUGUUGGUUUCUAGGAUCAACGUAAUGAUUAAUAGGGAUAGUUGGGGGCAUUAGUAUUCAAUUGUCAGAGGUGAAAUUCUUGGAUUUAUUGAAGACUAACUACUGCGAAAGCAUUUGCCAAGGAUGUUUUCAUUAAUCAAGAACGAAAGUUAGGGGAUCGAAGACGAUCAGAUACCGUCGUAGUCUUAACCAUAAACUAUGCCGACUAGGGAUCGGAUGAUGUUAAUUUUUUAAUGACUCAUUCGGCGCCUUACGGGAAACCAAAGUGUUUGGGUUCCGGGGGGAGUAUGGUCGCAAGGCUGAAACUUAAAGGAAUUGACGGAAGGGCACCACCAGGGGUGGAGCCUGCGGCUUAAUUUGACUCAACACGGGGAAACUCACCAGGUCCAGACAUAGUAAGGAUUGACAGAUUGAGAGC
rnacentral:rRNA from 1 species